rnacentral:rRNA from 1 species
AUUGAACGCUGGCGGCAGGCCUAACACAUGCAAGUCGAGCGGAUGAAGGGAGCUUGCUCCUGGAUUCAGCGGCGGACGGGUGAGUAAUGCCUAGGAAUCUGCCUGGUAGUGGGGGAUAACGUCCGGAAACGGGCGCUAAUACCUCAUACGUCCUGAGGGAGAAAGUGGGGGAUCUUCGGACCUCACGCUAUCAGAUGAGCCUAGGUCGGAUUAGCUAGUUGGUGGGGUAAAGGCCUACCAAGGCGACGAUCCGUAACUGGUCUGAGAGGAUGAUCAGUCACACUGGAACUGAGACAUGGUCCAGACUCCUACGGGAGGCAGCAGUGGGGAAUAUUGGACAAUGGGCGAAAGCCUGAUCCAGCCAUGCCGCGUGUGUGAAGAAGGUCUUCGGAUUGUAAAGCACUUUAAGUUGGGAGGAAGGGCAGUAAGUUAAUACCUUGCUGUUUUGACGUUACCAACAGAAUAAGCACCGGCUAACUUCGUG